UACGGAGGGGGCUAGCGUUGUUCGGAAUUACUGGGCGUAAAGCGCACGUAGGCGGCUUUGUAAGUUAGAGGUGAAAGCCCGGAGCUCAACUCCGGAAUUGCCUUUAAGACUGCAUCGCUAGAAUUGUGGAGAGGUGAGUGGAAUUCCGAGUGUAGAGGUGAAAUUCGUAGAUAUUCGGAAGAACACCAGUGGCGAAGGCGACUCACUGGACACAUAUUGACGCUGAGGUGCGAAAGCGUGGGAAGCAAACAGG
rnacentral:rRNA from 1 species